rnacentral:rRNA from 1 species
GACGAACGCUGGCGGCGUGCUUAACACAUGCAAGUCGAACGGUGAACCUCUUCGGAGGGGAUCAGUGGCGAACGGGUGAGUAACACGUGGGCAACCUGCCCCCGGCUCUGGGAUAACUCCAAGAAAUCGGGGCUAAUACCCGAAGUCCACCGCUUCUCGCAAGGGUGGUGGUGGAAAGGGUUUCGGGCUGGGGAUGGGCCCGCGGGCUAUCAGCUGGUAGGUGGAGUAGUGGCCUACCAAGGCGAAGGCGGGUAGCCGGCCUGAGAGGGGGGCCGGCGACACGAGGACUAAGGGAGGGCGCAGUCGCGAACGGGAGGCAACGGGGGGAAGUAUGGCGCAGUGAGCGGGAGCCUGACGCGGAGGCGCUGGGUGGGGAAUAACGGCCUUCGGGUUAUGAACCUCUUUCUGCGGAGACAAAGCGCAAGUGACGGUACCUGCAGAAGAAGCACCGGCUAACUACGUG